GGUCGCGUGGCCCAAUGGCAAGGCGCUUGACUACGAUUCCAUCCUUGGAUUUCCGACAUCAAGAGAUUCUGGGUUCGAUCCCCAGCGUGACCU